CCCACCCCACCCCCAUCCAAGGACAACUUUUCUCAGGGCCUCAGGCAGAUUCUUCUGAAGAGCAAUUGUUGGCGGCUGGAAUGGAGCAGAUGCCCUAAAUGGGAAAGACUCUUCCUGAACGUCUGAGGAGGAAAGUUCACCUGGGGUUUCAACUGGAGUCAUGCUCCCCAUGCCCAAUUUUUGCAUGCCAGGGACAACUAAGAGAUACCCCGCUAGUCCCCAGGUUUGCUGGAAGACAGACUCUCAGAAGUGGAAUUGUCAGGCAGCUUAACAAUAGUUGCAACGAAUCCAAAUCCUGAAAGCAAAGGCAUGUUGCAUGGGACGCUUUGA